CGCGGGCUGGAGCGGUAUUCCGGGCCUUGGCGAGGCCCGGAACGUUGGGGCAGGUGGUUAUUUUUCGCUGUCGUCGCC
rnacentral:tRNA from 1 species